rnacentral:sRNA from 3 species
AUUCUACCCAUGUGGGGAAGGAUGAGAAGCUUCGACCAAGGUUCGAUUCGAGCGCAGCGAGAAAGCGUUGCCGCAGGCAACGGCCCGAAGGGCGAAGCGCGCAGCGCUGAGUCAUCCUUCCCCCACCACCA